rnacentral:rRNA from 1 species
GAUGGGAGCUUGCUCCCUGAUGUUAGCGGCGGACGGGUGAGAACACGUGGGUAACCUGCCUGUAAGACUGGGAUAACUCCGGGAAACCGGGGCUAAUACCGGAUGGUUGUUUGAACCGCAUGGUUCAAACAUAAAAGGUGGCUUCGGCUACCACUUACAGAUGGACCCGCGGCGCAUUAGCUAGUUGGUGAGGUAACGGCUCACCAAGGCAACGAUGCGUAGCCGACCUGAGAGGGUGAUCGGCCACACUGGGACUGAGACACGGCCCAGACUCCUACGGGAGGCAGCAGUAGGGAAUCUUCCGCAAUGGACGAAAGUCUGACGGAGCAACGCCGCGUGAGUGAUGAAGGUUUUCGGAUCGUAAAGCUCUGUUGUUAGGGAAGAACAAGUACCGUUCGAAUAGGGCGGUACCUUGACGGUACCUAACCAGAAAGCCACGGCUAACUACGUGCCAG